AUUGAACGCUGGCGGCAUGCCUUACACAUGCAAGUCGAACGGUAACAGGUCUUCGGAUGCUGACGAGUGGCGAACGGGUGAGUAAUACAUCGGAACGUGCCCGAGAGUGGGGGAUAACGAGGCGAAAGCUUUGCUAAUACCGCAUACGAUCUCAGGAUGAAAGCAGGGGACCGCAAGGCCUUGCGCUCACGGAGCGGCCGAUGGCAGAUUAGGUAGUUGGUGGGGUAAAAGCUUACCAAGACGACGAUCUGUAGCUGGUCUGAGAGGACGACCAGCCACACUGGGACUGAGACACGGCCCAGACUCCUACGGGAGGCAGCAGUGGGGAAUUUUGGACAAUGGGCGCAAGCCUGAUCCAGCCAUGCCGCGUGCAGGAUGAAGGCCUUCGGGUUGUAAACUGCUUUUGUACGGAACGAAAAGACUCUGGUUAAUACCUGGGGUCCAUGACGGUACCGUAAGAAUAAGCACCGGCUAACUACGUGCCAGCCGCCGCCGUAAUAC
rnacentral:rRNA from 1 species